rnacentral:lncRNA from 1 species
UUGUAUGCCGGAAGGGAUAAAUCUGGGGCUGAGUACAAGCAAAACAAGACCAAAGGAAGCUACCUGAGCAGGUAUUCCAGAUACUCAUGUCAUACACCAAGGUUGUACCAGUGCCCCUUUCUCUGUGACACAUCCAUCCACUGGAAACUUUCGUACAACUAGCUGAAAGAAGAGAAACAUCCUAUUUCAUGUCACUGGAGCCCUAAUGAUCGCAGCCAUUUCAGGAAAUGCCAUCAAUUACAGUGAGGAGCUCAUUCAGAAGUGAAAGAUGAGUUCCAUUCUCUGUUACUUAGAGGGUGGAUAUCCUCCUCCACUGAAUGCAAACUAUUAAGUAAUGAAAAGACAGCACUCCAAGCAAUAUAGAUUUAUAGGCCAACCUGGCAAUCAAGGGUAACUGACAUGAAAAUGGAUUGCUUCACAUUUUAAUUACAAAGGAACACAAUUAUUUCUGGAAAGAGUAUUACACUCAGUAUUCUGCAUUUCAUAUGGCAUUUCAAAGUCCUGAGAAUGACUCUCCGUAGUCUUCUAUGUACUAAUUAAACAUGAACAUGUGGUAAACAACAUGGACUAUUCCAGUGGACAGAAAGCGUCAAGUUAAAAUGUUUAAGUGCCCCAUAUUUUUCUAAGUAUUCUUAUCCAGUUGGUCUGACUGGUCAUUAUCUGUUUUGUAAAACUUCCCAAACAACUCAUCAAUAUUUAAAUAGCUAUCCAAAUUAUAAACUUCAAAUAGCAGAAUCCAAAUGUCAUUUAUGCAUAAUUCAAAAGAACUUUGCUGAAAACAAUCUUUGGAUUACAAUUGCUCUCUAAUCCACCUCUUGAAUUUCUACAUAAGAAUUCAAUGCCAAUGCAAUUCAAAUCAAUUCAUUCAUGGUUGAUGUUAAAACUUCCUUUAAGAGGAUAGUAUGGCAGAAACAAAACUGAAUUUGAACAAGAGGGAAACUGCAGAAGAUAAACAUUUUUUCUGUAGAAAGUUUCCAACUUUUACAUUUUUGUGGUAAUUUUUAACAUUAUAGGUAUAAUUAAAUUAUCACUAAAGUUAUAUCUAUUAAUCCUAAGUGGUUUAAAAUAAUUUCUCUGUUCAAACUGAUGCAGCUCGCUAUUACAAUUUAAUAUAAUUUUUUCAAACUAUAAUUGAUUUCUAAGACUAGUAAAAUUUUUGAGCUACCAUUAACCCCAAAAUAUCUGGAAAAAGAAAAUCAUCAUAGGUAACUCCUGAUGACUCCUACCUCUUUCAGUCACAUACUUAGCAUUAUCUGCUGUACAGGUUUAAAGAAUGUUGGUCACAGGAUUGAAGUGAAUAUUUCAUUUAUGUGUAGCCAAAAUAUUAUCAUAUGAAGCCCAAAAGAAGAGUAAAAUACAUCCUUGUGAUAUUAUUAACAUGACUUUGUGCCAGACAAAGCAUAGUUACUCUACAGAUGGAUUAUGAAUAGAGAAAAAGUGUGUAGUUGAAUUCUUUGGAAUUAUGGACUAUAUUCCAUAAAUCCCAGAUGGAGUCACUAUGAUUAAUGUUACCUCAAUGAAUACAAAAUGAAUAAAUAAUUAUCCUCCACUUACUGUAAAG